UAUACAACGGAGAGUUUGAUCCUGGCUCAGGAUGAACGCUAGCGGGAGGCUUAACACAUGCAAGUCGAGGGGCAGCACGGACUUCGGUCUGGUGGCGACCGGCGCACGGGUGCGUAACGCGUAUGCAACCUGCCUUAUACAGGAGGAUAGCCCAUGGAAACGUGGAUUAAUACUCCAUAGUAUUAUUUUUUCGCAUGGAAAAAUAAUUAAAACUUUGGUGGUAUAAGAUGGGCAUGCGUAAGAUUAGCUGGUAGGUGAGGUAAAGGCUCACCUAGGCGACGAUCUUUAGGGGUUCUGAGAGGAUUAUCCCCCACACUGGUACUGAGACACGGACCAGACUCCUACGGGAGGCAGCAGUGAGGAAUAUUGGUCAAUGGGCGCGAGCCUGAACCAGCCAUCCCGCGUGCAGGAUGACGGCCCUAUGGGUUGUAAACUGCUUUUCUAUGCCAAGAAACCACUCUACGUGUAGGGUGUUGCCGGUAGCAUAGGAAUAAGCAUCGGCUAACUCCGUGCCAGCAGCCGCGGUAAUACGGAGGAUGCAAGCGUUAUCCGGAUUCAUUGGGUUUAAAGGGUGCGCAGGUGGGCUUGUAAGUCAGUGGUGAAAUACUGCCGCUUAACGGUAGAAUUGCCAUUGAUACUGUGAGUCUUGAGUAUGGUUGAGGUAGGCGGAAUGUGUUGUGUAGCGGUGAAAUGCAUAGAUAUGACACAGAACGCCGAUUGCGAAGGCAGCUUACUAAACCAUUACUGACACUGAGGCACGAAAGCGUGGGGAGCGAACAGGAUUAGAUACCCUGGUAGUCCACGCUGUAAACGAUGUUCACUCGCUGUUUGCGAUACACAGUAAGCGGCUGAGCGAAAGCAUUAAGUGAACCACCUGGGGAGUACGAUCGCAAGGUUGAAACUCAAAGGAAUUGACGGGGGCCCGCACAAGCGGAGGAACAUGUGGUUUAAUUCGAUGAUACGCGAGGAACCUUACCUGGGCUUAAAUGUAGAUUGUAUAGAUUGGAAACAGUCUUUCCCUUCGGGGCUAUUUACAAGGUGCUGCAUGGUUGUCGUCAGCUCGUGCCGUGAGGUGUCGGGUUAAGUCCCAUAACGAGCGCAACCCUUACCGUUAGUUGCCAUCGGGUCAAGCCGGGGACUCUAGCGGGACUGCCACCGUAAGGUGAGAGGAAGGUGGGGAUGACGUCAAAUCAGCACGGCCCUUAUGUCCAGGGCUACACACGUGUUACAAUGGUCGGUACAAAGGGCAGCUACACAGCGAUGUGAUGCUAAUCCCAAAAGCCGAUCCCAGUUCGGAUUGGAGUCUGCAACCCGACUCCAUGAAGUUGGAUUCGCUAGUAAUCGCGCAUCAGCCAUGGCGCGGUGAAUACGUUCCCGGGCCUUGUACACACCGCCCGUCAAACCAUGGGAGCUGGGGGUGCCUGAAGUCUGUGACCGAGAGGAGCGGCCUAGGGUAAAACCAGUGACUGGGGUUAAGUCGUAACAAGGUAGCCGUACCGGAAGGUGUGGCUGGAACACCUCCUUUCUGGA
rnacentral:rRNA from 1 species